CAGCCUCCUUCUUCUUCUUCUCCUCCUCCUCCUCCUCCUCAGCCGGUCAUCAUCCACACGCCGUGUUGUUGUGGGAGCGGCAACUCGCCUCCUAAAUGGAGAAAAUUGAAGCAUGCUCAUGCAGGAGGAAGGGAAUUCAGGGGGAAAAAUAAUGGAUGAUACACAGGAAGCAACCCGGGUGGCUCUGCAGCACCAAUUAUGACAAAACCUCCCACACAGAAUCGAUGAUGUGAAAUCAGACCAGGAAACGCGGAUGCUGUGGUGUGGAGGCCGACCCUGUUCAGACGCCUCGCUUGAAAAGGGUCAACCGAAGGAAAGUAUUCAAUCAUCAAAGAAAAAUCAUUGAUUUCUUUGAGCUUUUCGGUAAAGAUUUUUGAAUAUUGAGGUACUAUGUCAGAGGAGGCCUUUUUCAGAUUGCUCACAUUUCAACAUGAACACCCCAAAGAUAAAAGUUUUAAAAUUUCAUUUGUCAUUACUAAAGCAGAAAUAAAGCUACAUGGCACAAUGCAAAAAAACAAUAAUAAAAAAAUAAAGCAACUUUCUCUUUAAAAACAAAUCAUGAUGUCACUAAUGACAUUUAUUCAAGAGGAUUUUUGCUUCAUUCUGAGCAGAAUUAUUUGACUUUAACUCUGAAAGAUUGUUGUGUUACAACCAGUCAGGUCAUAGAAGAGAGUCUAUAAGAGACUGUAUAAGAGAACUGGACUGAGUGAGUGAGUGAGACAUCACCCAUUAAAAAAAAAAAAAA